rnacentral:rRNA from 1 species
GACGAACGCUGGCGGCGUGCCUAAUACAUGCAAGUCGAGCGAAGUUUUUCUGGUGCUUGCACUAGAAAAACUUAGCGGCGAACGGGUGAGUAACACGUAAAGAACCUGCCUCAUAGACUGGGACAACUAUUGGAAACGAUAGCUAAUACCGGAUAACAGUAUUUCUCGCAUGAGAGAUAUUUAAAAGUUGGUUAUGCUAACACUAUGAGAUGGCUUUGCGGUGCAUUAGCUAGUUGGUGGGGUAAAGGCCCACCAAGGCGACGAUGCAUAGCCGACCUGAGAGGGUGAUCGGCCACACUGGGACUGAGACACGGCCCAGACUCCUACGGGUGGCAGCAGUAGGGAAUCGUCAGCAAUGGGCGAAAGCCUGACGGAGCAACGCCGCGUGAGUGAAGAAGGAUUUCGGUUCGUAAAGCUCUGUUGUUAGGGAAGAAUGGAUAUGUAGUAACUAUACAUGUAAGAGACGGUACCUAAACAGAAAGCCACGGCUAACUACGUG